ACGAGGGUGGACAGGUGGUGCAUGGUUGUCGUCAGCUCGUGUCGUGAGAUGUUGGGUUAAGUCCCGCAACGAGCGCAACCCUCGACCUUAGUUGCCAGCAUUCAGUUGGGCACUCUAAGGUGACUGCCGGCUAAAAGUCGGAGGAAGGUGGGGAUGACGUCAAAUCGUCAUGCCCCUUAUGACCUGGGCUACACACGUGCUACAAUGGGCGGUACAAAGGGUCGCGAACCCGCGAGGGGGAGCCAAUCCCAAAAAGCCGCUCUCAGUUCGGAUUGCAGGCUGCAACUCGCCUGCAUGAAGCCGGAAUCGCUAGUAAUCGCGGAUCAGCAUGCCGCGGUGAAUACGUUCCCGGGCCUU
rnacentral:rRNA from 1 species